CAUGCAAGUCGGACGGGCCGCAAGGCCAGUGGCGCAAGGGUGAGUAAGGCGACGGUAACCAACCCCGCGGGUGGGCAUAGCCGGGGGAAACCCCGGGUAAUUCCCAGCGAUAUGACGACCCGGCAUCGGGAUGUCAUCAAAGAUUUAUCGCCGCGGGACGGGCCGUCGUGGUAUUAGCUUGUUGGCGGGGUGACGGCCCACCAAGGCUGCGAUGCCUACCGGGCGUGCGAGCGUGGCCCGGCACACUGGGACUGAGACACUGCCCAGACUCCUACGGGAGGCUGCAGUCGAGAAUCUUCGGCAAUGGGCGCAAGCCUGACCGAGCGACGCCGCGUGGAGGACGAAGGCCCUCGGGUUGUAAACUCCUGUCGAGGGGGAGGAAGCUUCGGUUGACCGAACCCUGGAGGAAGCACGGGCUAAGUUCGUGCCAGCAGCCGCGGUAAGACGAACCGUGCGAACGUUAUUCGGAAUCACUGGGCUUANAGCGCGUGUAGGCG
rnacentral:rRNA from 1 species